rnacentral:tRNA from 1 species
GGAGAUGUAGUUCAGUGGUAGAUCAUUUGCCUAGCAUAUGUGAGGCCCUGGAUUCCAUCUCCAGCCCCUCCA